CCGACCUUAGCUCAGUUGGAAGAGCACAAGACUGUAAUUGGAUAUCUUAUCGUAUAUCUUGGGGUCGCCUGUUCGAACCAGGCAGGUCGGA